CCUACUUAACUCAGUGGUUAGAGUAU
rnacentral:tRNA from 1 species